rnacentral:rRNA from 1 species
AAAUGAAUUGACGGGGGCCCGCACAAGCGGAGGAACAUGUGGUUUAAUUCGAUGAUACGCGAGGAACCUUACCCGGGAUUGAAAUGUACCUGACGAGUCGUGAGAGCGGCUUUCCUUCGGGCAGGUAUGUAGGUGCUGCAUGGUUGUCGUCAGCUCGUGCCGUGAGGUGUCGGCUUAAGUGCCAUAACGAGCGCAACCCUGACUGUCAGUUGCUAACAGGUUAAGCUGAGGACUCUGGCGGGACUGCCGGCGUAAGCUGUGAGGAAGGUUGGGAUGACGUCAAAUCAGCACGGCCCUUAUAUCCGGGGCGACACACGUGUUACAAUGGGGAGGACAAAGGGUUGCUACCAGGCGACUGGAUGCUAAUCUCAAAACCUUUUCUCAGUUCGGAUCGGAGUCUGCAACUCGACUCCGUGAAGCUGGAUUCGCUAGUAAUCGCGCAUCAGCCAUGGCGCGGUGAAUACGUUCCCGGGCCUUGUACACACCGCCCGU